GAUGAACGCUGGCGGCGUGCCUAAUACAUGCAAGUCGAGCGAACGGACGAGAAGCUUGCUUCUCUGAUGUUAGCGGCGGACGGGUGAGUAACACGUGGAUAACCUACCUAUAAGACUGGGAUAACUUCGGGAAACCGGAGCUAAUACCGGAUAAUAUUUUGAACCGCAUGGUUCAAAAGUGAAAGACGGUCUUGCUGUCACUUAUAGAUGGAUCCGCGCUGCAUUAGCUAGUUGGUAAGGUAACGGCUUACCAAGGCAACGAUGCAUAGCCGACCUGAGAGGGUGAUCGGCCACACUGGAACUGAGACACGGUCCAGACUCAUACGGGAGGCAGCAGUAGGGAAUCUUCCGCAAUGGGCGAAAGCCUGACGGAGCAACGCCGCGUGAGUGAUGAAGGUCUUCGGAUCGUAAAACUCUGUUAUUAGGGAAGAACAUAUGUGUAAGUAACUGUGCACAUCUUGACGGUACCUAAUCAGAAAGCCACGGCUAACUACGUGCCAGCAGCCGCGGUAAUACGUAGGUGGCAAGCGUUAUCCGGAAUUAUUGGGCGUAAAGCGCGCGUAGGCGGUUUUUUAAGUCUGAUGUGAAAGCCCACGGCUCAACCGUGGAGGGUCAUUGGAAACUGGAAAACUUGAGUGCAGAAGAGGAAAGUGGAAUUCCAUGUGUAGCGGUGAAAUGCGCAGAGAUAUGGAGGAACACCAGUGGCGAAGGCGACUUUCUGGUCUGUAACUGACGCUGAUGUGCGAAAGCGUGGGGAUCAAACAGGAUUAGAUACCCUGGUAGUCCACGCCGUAAACGAUGAGUGCUAAGUGUUAGGGGGUUUCCGCCCCUUAGUGCUGCAGCUAACGCAUUAAGCACUCCGCCUGGGGAGUACGACCGCAAGGUUGAAACUCAAAGGAAUUGACGGGGACCCGCACAAGCGGUGGAGCAUGUGGUUUAAUUCGAAGCAACGCGAAGAACCUUACCAAAUCUUGACAUCCUUUGACAACUCUAGAGAUAGAGCCUUCCCCUUCGGGGGACAAAGUGACAGGUGGUGCAUGGUUGUCGUCAGCUCGUGUCGUGAGAUGUUGGGUUAAGUCCCGCAACGAGCGCAACCCUUAAGCUUAGUUGCCAUCAUUAAGUUGGGCACUCUAAGUUGACUGCCGGUGACAAACCGGAGGAAGGUGGGGAUGACGUCAAAUCAUCAUGCCCCUUAUGAUUUGGGCUACACACGUGCUACAAUGGACAAUACAAAGGGCAGCGAAACCGCGAGGUCAAGCAAAUCCCAUAAAGUUGUUCUCAGUUCGGAUUGUAGUCUGCAACUCGACUACAUGAAGCUGGAAUCGCUAGUAAUCGUAGAUCAGCAUGCUACGGUGAAUACGUUCCCGGGUCU
rnacentral:rRNA from 1 species